AACUCGACUCCAUGAAGCUGGAUUCGCUAGUAAUCGCGCAUCAGCCAUGGCGCGGUGAAUACGUUCCCGGGCCUUGUACACACCGCCCGUCAAGCCAUGGAAGCCGGGGGUGCCUGAAGUGCGUGACCGCAAGGAGCGCCCUAAGGUAAAACCGGUGACUGGGGCUAAGUCGUAACAAGGUACC
rnacentral:rRNA from 1 species